UAAAAUGGUAAUUUGCCAAAUACAGCUUUAGAACAAAGGAUCCUACACGGUGUCGCAGUCUCCAGACACCAAGUCAGGGUGCGGCUGCAUGCUUUUUGUUAAGUCCUCUCACGGAAUUAAUGCGGUGGUCUGUAGAUCUUUUUAGCUGGAGAGGAGAGAGAGAGAGGAGAGAGAGAGAAAGGAGGAGAAGGAGUAGGAGGAGAAGAAAAAGCUCUCAGAGUUUUGGAAGAGCUGUGGAAGAAGGUUUUAGCACAUGGAAUUCCCUGGAGAGGAAAAUAUAGAAAAUCUAAGAUGGAUUUGAGAAAGUUAUAUUGGAAAACACACACACACCCAUACACACACCCAUACACACACCCAUAUACACACCCAUACACACACACACACGCGCACACACACACAUGCAAGUGCGCGCACACACACACCCAUACACACACCCAUAUACACACCCAUACACACACACCCAUAUACACACACACCCAUACACACACAUCCAUACACACACCCAUACACACACCCAUACACACACACGCACACACACACAUGCAAGUGCGCGCACACACACACCCAUACACACACCCACACACACACCCAUACACACCCAUACACACACACACGCAAGUGCGCACACACACACACCCAUACACACACCCAUAUACACACCCAUACACACACACACCCAUACACACCCCCAUACACACCCCCAUACACACCCCCAUACACACCCCCAUACACACCCCCAUACACACCCCCAUACACACCCCCAUACACACCCCCAUACACACACCCAUAUACACACACCCCCAUAUACACACUCAGACACACACACCCAUACACACCCCCAUAUACACACACCCAUACACACACCCAUAUACACACCCAUACACACAUCCAUACACACACCCAUACACACACACACCCAUACACACACCCAUACACACACACACGCACACACACGCAAGUGCACACACACACAUACACACACCCAUACACACACCCAUAUACACACCCACACCCACACACCCAUACACACACACACGCACACACACAUGCAAGUGCGCGCG
rnacentral:lncRNA from 1 species